AAAAGAGGCUGCAGAUUCUUAGUGGACAGCUCUCAUAUCCCCUCCAGGGAAAAUGAUGAAAAAUGUCUUCAGAAAAAUAGCUUUAUGAAGGCAAGAGGACUUUUUGCACCUGCAAGACAUGUCUGAAAGCUCCUCAGGUCAAAACACAAGUAGUCAAGAGAUUUGUCCAUCUAAUUCAUCAUACUACUCUGAUCCAAGUGAGACCCACACUGGGUCAGCUCCAUCAAGGAGAAGAACAUUCCACCCACGUUUGGAUUCUGGAAUAUCAUCCUUGCUUCCAUCAGAUUCUUGUAAGUACCUCACUUGGCACAAGGUAGACAUGACGUUCAAGGAAGUCAACUGCGUUGCCCAAGAGUAAGAGAAGGUAAAAGAAUAAAUGUGUGCCUUUUUCGUGUACAUCCUCUGAAUAGAAUUUUUUGUGGAUUAAAAGACAUUACUUGAAGAAAAAAAAAAGACACCAUUUGGAGGAAUCUCUGAAGAAGAGCAACUUUUCAGACAGGUAGAGUGUGCCUUGCUCCCAAGGAAAAGAGUUCUUGAAAAAAACAAAUGGGAAACAUGGCUACAAGAAAACUGGGAAGACUGCAAGAAAAUCUCAGAAUCUGCUUGAGAAUCCGGUCCUUCUUCCUCCAUACACCCAUGGAACACUCCCAAACUCUGUAUGCUGCUCACUAAUUCUGAUUAAGGUCUUCACCCUCCCUACCUUGGAAAUUGCUACAACAUAAUUGUGUUU
rnacentral:lncRNA from 1 species